AAAGGCACUUUUUCCUAGUUUUCAAAGUUGGCAUAGUCAUUUUUAUAGACCUUGAUUCAAGUACGCCGGUGAGUUUGAAAAGAUAAAAUAGCUCCCCGCCCAGAGCGGACCUCGCCCCUCUCAGCGCCUGCACACUCUGCAUUCUGUCCCCGUCGAGGGCAGCGUCUUCCAUGGCAUUGGCCUAGUUCUGCCUUCACCUCCCCAGGCCUCCCGAAGGCGGGGGCGGGGAACAUCUUGGUCUUCCUGGUGCCCCGGCUGCACCUCGCCCUGUGCUGGCCUGUAGUGGGUGCUUAGGGUGGGGUGCUAACAGGCUGGGUCAGGGUCAAGUGUAUACACUUUGGACUCAAACAACCUGCUCUGAGCCCCAGCUCUGACGCAUCCCAGUGUGUGAUCUUAAGCACGUUUCUUUAGCCUUGCUAAAGGCGAAGCGGUGAGACAACCGUCCUUGCUUCUCAGGAUUUUCAUGAGAAGUAAAUCAGAAAAUCCCAGGGCAUGGUAGGCACUCAGAACCUCCUGCGGCUCAAUCACGAUGCUCUAGGCCAGAAAGUUCAUCCAUGCUGGAAAAACCGUCGGAAUGAAUAUAUGCAGCGUUCAGCAAAGGGAAACCGACUCACUGGGACUGAUGCUCCAGAGAGACGGGAGUGUUAGGCGGCGGGUCUUAGGAAAAGCCCCAUUCCUUGUCCAGUGGGAUCAGAAGGCUUGGAGGAAUUGAGGUCUCAGGAGCUCUUAGUGGGAGGGGAUUUGCCCAGGAGAGUCUUGGGGGGGAGCUGGAGAACCCCAGAAAUUGCCUUGUGCCUUGCUCCCUGAGCUGCCCCUCUCCCGUUCUCGCUCCCCACGUCACUGCUGAACUCGGAGAGAGAUGGGACACUGAGGAGCCAUUUCAGGGCCCGCCACGCAUUCAUCUGCCGCCCAGCCUUGCCCACCCUAACUCCUAGGUGUGUGUGUGUGCCCCGCAGGUGUGCCCUGCUCCGGAAGCUUCCCUGUGUGCCAACUGCACGGCUGGAUCUCAGUAAUGAUGGGCAUUGCUAAGCCUACAAUAUCCUACCAUUCCGCCAAUGCAGAAAUAAGAUAGCCCCGCAAGCAAAUGGCUCCUAACAUCUGAGUUAUUUCUGGUAACAAAGAAACGGCGGGUCUGAAUUCGGUCUCAAACCCUCCUGACCAGUUUCUAUCGGCAACACUGGAUGCCUUGAACCAAGGCAGUUCAGAAGGUGUGUUCGCAGCAGCUAUGAACUGACAUCCUUAGAAGAUGAAUGUUAGUUACAGACUUUAAAGAGAAAUGUGGCAAGAGAAACUCUGAUACCACUAGCAUGUAUCAGCCAUGAUUACAAGCUCUGGCCCACAUUCCCACGUCUCUGAGAUAACAUAACAUAGAGCAUGAGGUCUGAACCACUGUUCUGUUGUGCCCGCUUCAUGAGAGGAAGCCCCCAACCCUGAGAAACGGAUGCCUCACACAUCUGCACACACGCGCACACAGCGCAGAGAGCUCUCCCUCUCGGAAGGAGCGUGUGCCACUUUUCCGGGACCACGUUUGAUUUGAAGCCUUGGCUAUUUCGCAUGGCCUCACAACCCAGCGUGAUUUGCUCUGGGAUUAACUGUGCUAUUUGAACGAAAGGCUUAGCUUGUUCUUAAUCUUCCCUUUGAAAUGCUGACUUCGAGCUUCAGUGCCCUGCCCAUCAGGUUCCAGGCACGGAUGAAGCCCAGAGCCAACAUGCACGCAGCGUUAGCAGCAGAAAGCGCCUGGGUCGAAGAUCUGGGGACCAGAUUUUCAUGGCGCCUGUGUCGGGGCCACAUAGCAGCCUUACAGAUCAAAGCAGAGACAGAGAUAGUGCAGCUUCUCUGGGGAGGCAGCAGAUAACGAUAAGGAAGGAUAAUUCAGAGGGGGUGGGUGUCUCCGCGACAGAGAACACACGCCUGUUGUCAUUAUCCAUCCCGGAUGAGGCUUCGAAACCUUCCCCGCCCGCCUGGCCAAGAACCAGCUGGGAAGCAGACCCCAUGUGCAGUGGCUUCCAGAACUGGAGUAAUACCUCCGCUUAAACGUGACCUUUCUGCCCUAGUGGAGACGGAGGCAAAGUGACAUUCUCAGGUGUGGGGACGGGGCACUCUUUCCCGCCCUCUCUCGCGGUAUUGGGAGGCAGCUGCUGAGAACUUGAGGUUCGCAUCCAUGAAGUCAGCUGCAAAGUCCUCUCCAGCAUAAAAAGGAAAUUGUCUCCCUCUGACCGCACGGCUCCCUGACGUCUCGCACACGGCCUCCGUCGGCUGCUGCGGCCCCAUGGGCUUGUCCUCCCCCGGCUGCCCUUAGGGAUGACUGGCAUUGCCCAAAGAUAAUCAUGCAUCUGAUGAGAGGGAGGAAGAGGGCCCAAGGUGACUUUGCCCGGGCUCAGCCUCAGGCUGGGUUCUCAGACACCACUUGCAUUCUUCUAAGUGGCUUUGAAGGUGAUGGGAUGAAUCAGGCCGGGCGCAAAGGUGGUGACGGUUUAGUAAGCAAGACCCGGGCACUCAGGCACUGAUGCCAUCUGCCCGGCUCCCACGGCCAGGCUCGGAGGUCAGUGUGGCGACCCGGACUGGGUUUGGGAGGAAGCAGGGCGGCGCUGAGGGCGGUUCCUGAGCCCCAGGUGUUGGGGAAGGGGGACUGCAGGAGCCUCCCUCCUGGGCUGUCAGGAAGGAGGAACCAUUGUUCGCAGACGAGUGGACAUGCAAGAGGCUCCGCAAGUUCCACCUGGAGCCUGGCAUGUGCAUCACGAGGACACGAGUUCAUAAGGGAGAAAAUGCAAGUGCGGGUCAGCCACAUUUCCUGAUGAGAUUGCGGGGCUGUAGCAAGAAGGAUCGCUAAUCAUGAAACGUCUGGAGCUUACGCUCAAGCGAUGCCUCGCAAUAAAUGCUGGAUUUGAAUUUUCUUCCCGGUUGAGCCUUAUGGAACAUUCACUGCCAGCCACUAGACAGAGACAUUUCAAUGACAAGUUUCGUCUCUUGAAUGCCAAUGAAAAUAUCUGGCUGCAUGAUGGUUUUAAAAAGUAUUCAUUGAUUCAAAAUGUAUUAAAAGCCCAUCAGGUGCUUGUAAUUGUGUGAGAAG
rnacentral:lncRNA from 1 species